CAGGAGCAAAUUCAUCACAUUCAUCAAGAAACUCAGAGAGCCGCUGGUGCUGACGACCCUCAUCUCACUGUUUGUGAGGCUCCACAGCAUCGUGAGGGACGAUAUUGUAAAUGAAGUGACGGCUGAACAUCUCUCCAUCUGGCCAUCCACACUCCCCAA